rnacentral:miRNA from 1 species
CGCCCCCUAUACGUCAUCAUUGAGUAAACUUUGACCCGGAACCUCACAGUCAGCAGAUACUUCCUGGGAGGGAGGGUCUGCUGCUGAUUGGCUGGAAUGUGUCUGCUGGCUGUGAGGUUCCGGGUCAAAGUUUACUCAAUGAUGACGUAUACGGGGCA